GAUGAACGCUAGCUACAGGCUUAACACAUGCAAGUCGAGGGACCGGCACACGGGUGAGUAACACGUAUCCAACCUGCCCUUUACCCGGGGAUAGCCUUUCGAAAGAAAGAUUAAUACCAAUUGUAAAGGAUGGUGAUGCGUUCGAUUAGGUUGUUGGUGAGGUAACGGCUCACCAAGCCUGCGAAGGAUAGGGGUUCUGAGAGAAAGGUCCCCCACAUCAGAACUGAGACACGGUCCAAACUCCUACGGGACGCAGCAGUGAGUAAUAUUGGUGAAUGUGCGUUAGCCUGAACCAGCCAAGUAGCGUGAAGGAUGAAGGCUUAUGGGUCGUAAACUUCUUGUAUAUAAGAAUAUGUAUUAUAUGAAUAAGGAUCGGCUAACUCCGUGCCAGCCGCCGCGGUAAUAC
rnacentral:rRNA from 1 species